rnacentral:rRNA from 1 species
ACGGGUGAGGAAUACAUCGGAAUCUACUUUUUCGUGGGGGAUAACGUAGGGAAACUUACGCUAAUACCGCAUACGACCUACGGGUGAAAGCAGGGGACCUUCGGGCCUUGCGCGAUUGAAUGAGCCGAUGUCGGAUUAGCUAGUUGGCGGGGUAAAGGCCCACCAAGGCGACGAUCCGUAGCUGGUCUGAGAGGAUGAUCAGCCACACUGGAACUGAGACACGGUCCAGACUCCUACGGGAGGCAGCAGUGGGGAAUAUUGGACAAUGGGCGCAAGCCUGAUCCAGCCAUACCGCGUGGGUGAAGAAGGCCUUCGGGUUGUAAAGCCCUUUUGUUGGGAAAGAAAUCCAGCCGGCUAAUACCUGGUUGGGAUGACGGUACCCAAAGAAUAAGCACCGGCUAACUUCGUGCCAGCAGCCGCGGUAAUACGAAGGGUGCAAGCGUUACUCGGAAUUACUGGGCGUAAAGCGUGCGUAGGUGGUUGUUUAAGUCUGUUGUGAAAGCCCUGGGCUCAACCUGGGAACUGCAGUGGAAACUGGAUAACUAGAGUGUGGUAGAGGGUAGCGGAAUUCCCGGUGUA